UUUUAAAAUUAAGGUUAUAAUUGUCUUUAUAAAUUGCCGUGCAAACCUAAAAAAACGUGUGUCCACAUAUAUAUAAUAACAAUAAUAAUAAUAAUAAUGUAAAAGCAAGUCUUCGAAUAACUUCGAAAAAUGGAUGCCCGCAGUAGCAGCCGUCGUUCCCAGCGCCUAAUCGCAACCGCCUCCGUCACCGCCGCCGCUGGCAACGCCACCGCCAUUGCCAUCGCCAACGCCACCGACACCGUCACAGCCACCUCCGUCGCCGUCGCCACCGCCACCGCCACCAGCGCCCAACCGCCGCCGACACAACCCUAUGCUGCAUCGAUUUUCCUCCAAGUGAGGAGGGAUCCUUAGUUGUCCGCUGACAAGCUGCGAAGAAAUGCUCAAGUUUAGGUUCUAUUAGUAAAUGUUUUCUAUAUUCUAUGAGACUUUCAUCCUGCAGAUGUGAAUACAUUUGUUCCCAGAUUUCUAUCUUCUAUGAGAAAUUCAUCCUGCAGAUAUGGGAUACAUACUUUGGUUCCCCUGUUUUUCAUCUUUCUUAUUAAAGUUGGUUAUAUUCAA